rnacentral:misc_RNA from 1 species
GAUGAAGAACGCAGCGAAAUGCGAUAAGUAAUGUGAAUUGCAGAAUUCAGUGAAUCAUCGAAUCUUUGAACGCACAUUGCGCCCCCUGGUAUUCCGGGGGGCAUGCCUGUUCGAGCGUCAUUUCGCCACUCAAGCCUCGCUUGGUAUUGGGCAACGCGGUCCGCCGCGUGCCUCAAAUCGUCCGGCUGGGUCUUCUGUCCCUAAGCGUUGUGGAAACUAUUCGCUAAAGGGUGUUCGGGAGGCUACGCCGUAAAACAACCCCAUUUCUAAGGUUGACCUCGGAUCAGGUAGGGAUACCCGCUGAACUUAAGCAUAUCAAUAAGCGGAGGA